UACGAAGGGGGCUAGCGUUGCUCGGAAUGACUGGGCGUAAAGGGCGCGUAGGCGGAUGGUACAGUCAGAUGUGAAAUUCCUGGGCUUAACCUGGGGGCUGCAUUUGAUACGUGUUGUCUAGAGUGAGGAAGAGGGUCGUGGAAUUCCCAGUGUAGAGGUGAAAUUCGUAGAUAUUGGGAAGAACACCGGUGGCGAAGGCGGCGACCUGGUCCGAUACUGACGCUGAGGCGCGAAAGCGUGGGGAGCAAACAGG
rnacentral:rRNA from 1 species